AAAAAAAUACCCCACCGCCAUUGGCGAUGAGGCAGCGGUUUAACUUCUCCCCAAGGGAGAUUGGGCACGGCAUGUUCCUAUCAGACACGCAGCGCGCCAAAGUAAACCGCCUUUCAAUUAUGGGAGAGGAGAAACCGGAGGAAGAGCUUAUGGGGAAACGUAAGUCUUCUCCGCGG
rfam:Bacillus sp. WF146 contig074, whole genome shotgun sequence.